ensembl:lncRNA
CUUCCCCCAGGGCUCCACGCGGACCCCCCCCCGGGGUCGCACCCCGUGCCGCCGGGCUCGGUGUAACGCGGCGGCGGCUUCGCCAUCACAACAGUAAUUACCGCACGAGGCGGCUGUCAGCUCCUGCGCCCCGCAGUAAUCAGAACCUCCACUUUGAGAGCGCGGGGAGGGUUCUGUCUGCGCUGCUCCGCGGGGGUGGGCGGCUCCGGCACGGCUCUGUCUCGCAGCCGAGCGCUGACAGAUGGGUGGGCUGCAGCGGGGCUGAGGCACGGCGGUGCUGCGGACCCCUCGGGGAUCUCACCGCCCUCCUGCUGCCCGAAACGACGGCCUGGGGAUGCCCCGUCCCCAAAGAACAGGCUCUUCUCUAACGGCCCCGAAUAGACCUUACAGCGGCCUUCCAGUGCCUGAAGAGAACAAAACUGGUCAAGAAUUCAGCUGCAGGAAAAUCCAUAUGGAAGAUUUCCUCUCUCUUUGUUGGUCUGAAGCAACAGAAGUAUUAUCUGCGUUCGAAAGGAGCUGAAGACUGGUGCCAGAGCAGUCACAUCUGAAAGCCUCUCUCAUCUAAGAUUCAAGAAAAUGGCUUCUUGUCUAACAGUAAACGACAUUAUUAAUUUAUAUGGCAUUUCUGUGCCAACAAAAAGUCUGAAGAAGUGCCAUUUUGCCUUGACGCUGACACAAAGCAGCCCUGACGGGUCCUCCUUACCCUUCCCAAUGGUCGGAGGAGCAGGCAGGCGGCGCUUUGCUGCUCUGCCUUUGGGAAGCUCAGGGUGGUGGAGCCGCUCCCGGCGCCUCCCAGCACAGCACAGCGUUCCCUCCUGGCUCCUGAACGGCCCCAGGUGCAGAGCUGGCCCUGAUAGGGCUCUGAUGGAGCUCUGACACGUGGCCGUGGGAUCCGGGCUCCCGUGUGGCCAAAGCUGCCUUCCCACGGCUGCGGUGUGUGCAGUGCAGAUGGGAGGAGGCAAAAAAGCAUUCCCUGGAAGUGGGCACACCAACCUGUUCCCUAUGGACACAGGGCUGAGCAUCGCCACGUGCUGGGGCUGCUCGCAGUGGUGCCACGCAGCCCUCUCACCCGCUCUAUAGGCUUUGCUGUGUGCUUCCCCCCCCCUUCCUGAUGGAUGGCCAAGCGAUUUGUCUUCGCCGCAGAACAAGAUGCAUAAAGCUUGACAAAUGGCGGGGAGAAGCGUUUCUCACGCCGGAAUAAUUCAGUUUGAUUGGAAUCCUCUGCUGUGCUCCUCUGCGAGCUGCUGCGGGAUGGGAAUCACUCAGUGAAAGGGAGGGGGAGAGAGAGCAGUGGGGCUGGGAAGGGCUGGGGAUGCUGGCACCACCGCUUGCCCGUGGCAUAGGGACAUUCCCACCUGGAAUCCCACCUCAGGGCCAGAUGUGGGCCCUGAGUCCGUGCUGAUGGCAGUUCCUCACCUGGGCACUUUUCUGCCUCUUCACUCGGGCUUUGGCAGUGCUUUUUUAGUUUAAAAUCCAAAUGUCACCCUAAGGCUUGAAUCAAGCGUCUUGCAAAAAAACCUGGGAGGCUAAAUAUAGUUAAUUUGCACUGUAACCUUCAGCAGCC